rnacentral:rRNA from 1 species
AACGGUGGUUAUAACGUCGGGGUUCCACCUCUAUCCAUUCCGAACAGAGCAGUUAAGCCCGAUCGUGCCGANGGUUCGUUCGGUAUGUCUUUA